rnacentral:rRNA from 1 species
UACGUAGGGGGCAAGCGUUGUCCGGAUUUAUUGGGCGUAAAGAGCGUGUAGGCGGCUAUACAGGUCCGUUGUGAAAACUCGAGGCUCAACCUCGAGACGCCGAUGGAAACCGUAUGGCUAGAGUCCGGAAGAGGAGAGCGGAAUUCCUGGUGUAGCGGUGAAAUGCGCAGAUAUCAGGAAGAACACCCGUGGCGAAGGCGGCUCUCUGGGACGGCACUGACGCUGAGACGCGAAAGCGUGGGGAGCGAACAGG